rnacentral:lncRNA from 1 species
GUAGUUCACGCUAGGCUACCCAUAGGAGAUGUGGCCAAUCCACAUGAAUAUGGGGUAGUAGUCUAGUUGGGCUACCCACUGAUGAAAAGAUGAAAAGGAUGAAAAGAGGAAAAGAUGAAAAGAAUGAAAAGAUGAAAAGGAUGAAAAGAUGAAAAGGAUGUGCAUUGUAGGGUCUUUAGAUCAUGUCGGGUAGUAUGGGUUUUUGUGUAAUAGAUCUUAUUAGCUCAUGACUUGUGAUUGUUUGUUCUUCCUGAGCUGAGUUCGUGGGUUCCUAGGACCUGCCCUCACUGAGUAUUAUGUACUCACCCCUCAUUUUUACAGGUAUGGCCGAGAGAGAGCGGGAGUAGAUGUCCGUAUGGUGCAAGUGUUUUCUCGAGUUUUCAUUUAUGACUACUUUCUUUCAAUCAUUUCUUCUUAAGUGUUAUUCGACAUUUCAGUUUUAGUUGAGUUCAGUUUUAUGUAAGACAAUUUGAGUUUUAAUAAGAGUUUUUGAACGAAAGGGUUUGGGGAUAAAGUAUGGUUAAGGUUCAUCGGGCCAGGGCCGUUACAAU